AGAGUUUGAUCCUGGCUCAGGUUGAACGCUGGCGGCAUGCCUAACACAUGCAAGUCGAACGGCAGCACGAUUGAGUACUUGUACUCGAUGGGUGGCGAGUGGCGAACGGGUGAGUAAUGCGCAGGAAUAUGCCUUGAAGAGGGGGAUAACUUGGGGAAACUCAAGCUAAUACCGCAUAUGCUCUGAGGAGCAAAGCUGGGGACCUUCGGGCCUGGCGCUUUGAGAAUAGCCUGCGUCCGAUUAGCUAGUUGGUAGGGUAAAGGCCUACCAAGGCCACGAUCGGUAGCUGGUCUGAGAGGAUGAACAGCCACACUGGGACUGAGACACGGCCCAGACUCCUACGGGAGGCAGCAGUGGGGAAUAUUGGACAAUGGGGGCAACCCUGAUCCAGCAAUGCCGCGUGUGUGAAGAAGGCCUGAGGGUUGUAAAGCACUUUCAGUGGGGAGGAGGAUUACUAGGUUAAGAGCUGAGUAAUUGGACGUUACCCACAGAAGAAGCACCGGCUAACUCCGUGCCAGCAGCCGCGGUAAUACGGAGGGUGCGAGCGUUAAUCGGAAUGACUGGGCGUAAAGGGUGCGUAGGUGGUUUAUUAAGUUGUUGGUGAAAUCUCCGGGCUUAACCUGGGGUUGACGAAUAAAACUGAUGAACUCGAGUAUAGGAGAGGGUAGUGGAAUUUCCGGUGUAGCGGUGAAAUGCGUAGAGAUCGGAAGGAACACCAGUUGCGAAGGCGGCUACCUGGCCUGGUACUGACACUGAGGCACGAAAGCGUGGGGAGCAAACAGGAUUAGAUACCCUGGUAGUCCACGCCGUAAACGAUGUCAACUAGCUGUUUCUCAUAUAAAGAUGGGGAGUGCGAAGCUAACGCGAUAGUUGACGCCUGGGAGUACGGUCGCA
rnacentral:rRNA from 1 species